UACCUGGCGGGAAGGACAUUA
rnacentral:rRNA from 1 species